CCCACGGGAGGCAGCAGUGGGGAAUAUUGGACAAUGGGCGAAAGCCUGAUCCAGCCAUGCCGCGUGUGUGAAGAAGGCCUUCGGGUUGUAAAGCACUUUCAGUGGGGAAGAAAGCCUUGGGGCUAAUACCCUCGAGGAAGGACAUCACCCACAGAAGAAGCACCGGCUAACUCCGUGCCAGCAGCCGCGGUAAUACGGAGGGUGCGAGCGUUAAUCGGAAUUACUGGGCGUAAAGCGCGCGUAGGCGGUCUGAUAAGCCGGUUGUGAAAGCCCCGGGCUCAACCUGGGAACGGCAUCCGGAACUGUCAGGCUAGAGUGCAGGAGAGGAAGGUAGAAUUCCCGGUGUAGCAGUGAAAUGCGUAGAGAUCGGGAGGAAUACCAGUGGCGAAGGCGGCCUUCUGGACUGACACUGACGCUGAGGUGCGAAAGCGUGGGUAGCAAACAGGAUUAGAUACCCUAGUAGUC
rnacentral:rRNA from 1 species